AUUGAACGCUAGCGGCAUGCUUAACACAUGCAAGUCGAGCGGAGAGAGGUAGCUUGCUACUGAUCUUAGCGGCGGACGGGUGAGUAAUGCUUAGGAAUCUGCCUAUUAGUGGGGGACAACAUUUCGAAAGGAAUGCUAAUACCGCAUACGUCCUACGGGAGAAAGCAGGGGAUCUUCGGACCUUGCGCUAAUAGAUGAGCCUAAGUCGGAUUAGCUAGUUGGUGGGGUAAAGGCCUACCAAGGCGACGAUCUGUAGCGGGUCUGAGAGGAUGAUCCGCCACACUGGGACUGAGACACGGCCCAGACGCCUACGGGAGGCAGCAGUGGGGAAUAUUGGACAAUGGGCGCAAGCCUGAUCCAGCCAUGCCGCGUGUGUGAAGAAGGCCUUAUGGUUGUAAAGCACUUUAAGCGAGGAGGAGGCUACUUUAGAUAAUACCUAGAGAUAGUGGACGUUACUCGCAGAAUAAGCACCGGCUAACUCUGUGCCAGCAGCCGCAGUAA
rnacentral:rRNA from 1 species